rnacentral:rRNA from 1 species
AUUGAACGCUGGCGGCAGGCCUAACACAUGCAAGUCGAACGAGUGGCGGACGGGUGGGUAAUGUCUGGGAAACGGCCUGAUGGAGGGGGAUAACUACUGGAAACGGUAGCUAAUACCGCAUACCAUCGGAUGUGCCCAAAUGGGAUUAGCGAGUGGGGGGGGUAAAGGCUCACCUAGGCGACGAUCCGUACCUGGUCUGAGAGGAUGACCAGCCACACUGGAACUGAGACACGGUCCAGACUCCUACGGGAGGCAGCAGUGGGGAAUAUUGCACAAUGGGCGAAAGCCUGAUGCAGCCAUGCCGCGUGUAUGAAGAAGGCCUUCGGGUUGUAAAGUACUUUAAGUGGGGAGGCGUUACCCGCAGAAGAAGCACCGGCUAACUCCGUGCCAGCAGCCGCGGUAAUAC